UGCGUAGGCGGAAUGAUAAGUCAAUGGUGAAAUCCCCCGGCUCAACCGGGGAACUGCCUUUGAAACUAUUGUUCUUGAGUACAGUUGAAGUGGGCGGAAUGUGUCAUGUAGCGGUGAAAUGCAUAGAUAUGACACAGAACACCGAUAGCGAAGGCAGCUCGCUAAACUGUAACUGACGCUCAGGCACGAAAGCGUAGGGAGCAAACAGGAUUAGAUACCCUGGUAGUCC
rnacentral:rRNA from 1 species